UACAGAGGGUGCGAGCGUUGUCCGGAAUUACUGGGCGUAAAGGGCGCGUAGGCGGCCUGAUAAGUAUGGGGUGAAAUCUCAAGGCUCAACCUUGAGGCUGCCUUGUAGACUGUCAGGCUUGAGCACGGUAGAGGCAGAUGGAAUCCCCGGUGUAGCGGUGAAAUGCGUAGAGAUCGGGAAGAGCACCAGUGGCGAAGGCGGUCUGCUGGGCCGUUGCUGACGCUGAGGCGCGACAGCGUGGGGAGCAAACAGG
rnacentral:rRNA from 1 species